rnacentral:rRNA from 1 species
GACGAACGCUGGCGGCGUGCCUAAUACAUGCAAGUAGAACGCUGAAGGAGGAGCUUGCUUCUCUGGAUGAGUUGCGAACGGGUGAGUAACGCGUAGGUAACCUGCCUGGUAGCGGGGGAUAACUAUUGGAAACGAUAGCUAAUACCGCAUAAGAGUAGAUGUUGCAUGACAUUUGCUUAAAAGGUGCAAUUGCAUCACUACCAGAUGGACCUGCGUUGUAUUAGCUAGUUGGUGGGGUAACGGCUCACCAAGGCGACGAUACAUAGCCGACCUGAGAGGGUGAUCGGCCACACUGGGACUGAGACACGGCCCAGACUCCUACGGGAGGCAGCAGUAGGGAAUCUUCGGCAAUGGACGGAAGUCUGACCGAGCAACGCCGCGUGAGUGAAGAAGGUUUUCGGAUCGUAAAGCUCUGUUGUAAGAGAAGAACGAGUGUGAGAGUGGAAAGUUCACACUGUGACGGUAUCUUACCAGAAAGGGACGGCUAACUACGUGCCAGCAGCCGCGGUAAUACGUAGGUGGCAAGCGUUAUCCGGAUUUAUUGGGCGUAAAGAGAGUGCAGGCGGUUUUCUAAGUCUGAUGUGAAAGCCUUCGGCUUAACCGGGAGAAGUGCAUCGGAAACUGGAUAACUUGAGUGCAGAAGGGGCAGUGGAACUCCAUGUGUAGCGGUGGAAUGCGUACAUAUAUGGAAGAGCACCAGUGGCGAAGGCGGCUACCUGGUCUGCAACUGACGCUGAGACUCGAAGGCGUGGGGGCGAACAGG